rnacentral:rRNA from 1 species
AUGAGCCUACGGGGGGCAGCAGUGGGGAAUAUUGGGCAAUGGGCGCAAGCCUGACCCAGCAACGCCGCGUGAAGGAAGAAGGCUUUCGGGUUGUAAACUUCUUUUAUUCGGGACGAAGAAAGUGACGGUACCGAAUGAAUAAGCCACGGCUAACUACGUGCCAGCAGCCGCGGUAAUACAUAGGGAGCAAGCGUUAUCCGGAUUUAUUGGGUGUAAAGGGUGCGUAGACGGGAAAUUAAGUUAGUUGUGAAAUCCCUCGGCUUAACUGAGGAACUGCAACUAAAACUGAUUUUCUUGAGUACUGG